AUCAUUACAGAGUUCAUGCCCUUCGGGGUAGAUCUCCCACCCUAUGUAUUUAUACCUUUGUUGCUUUGGUAGGCCGUCACACUUCGGUCUGACCACUGGCUUCGGCUGGUGCGUGCCUGCCAGAGGACCCCAAACUCUGAAUGUUAGUGUCGUCUGAGUACUAUAUAAUAGUUAAAACUUUCAACAACGGAUCUCUUGGUUCUGGCAUCGAUGAAGAACGCAGCGAAAUGCGAUAAGUAAUGUGAAUUGCAGAAUUCAGUGAAUCAUCGAAUCUUUGAACGCACAUUGCGCCCUCUGGUAUUCCGGAGGGCAUGCCUGUUCGAGCGUCAUUACAACCCUCAAGCUCUGCUUGGUAUUGGGCUUCAGGCGUCAGCCUGGGCCUUAAAAUCAGUGGCGGUGCCGUCUGGCUCUAAGCGUAGUAAAUCUCUCGCUAUAGACGUCGGGUGGAGACUUGCCAUAACCCCCAAUUUUUACAGGUUGACCUCGGAUCAGGUAGGGAUACCCGCUGAACUUAAGCAUAUCAAUAAGCGGAGGA
rnacentral:rRNA from 1 species